CAUUUUCCAGAGCAUCCCUGGGCCCCUCCACAGCUCCACAGUAUCCCUGAGAACAUUUUGCCUUCACUCUGGUGCAUUAUUGGCACAAUUCUGGCAAAUCCGUUUAAGGUGCUUGCCCCAUAGAGCCCGCCAAGCUUUUAUGAUGUUGGAAGGAAGUUGGCCUCGCUCUGCAUUCGUGCUGUGAUCACAGAGUGGCAAGAGUGUCCCUUUAA
rnacentral:lncRNA from 1 species